UGCCGCGUGAAUGAUGAAGUCUAGAUUGUAAAUUCUUUCAGCGGGGACGAUAAUGACGGUACCCGCAGAAGAAGCCCCGGCUAACUUCGUGCCAGCAGCCGCGGUAAUACGAAGGGGGCUAGCGUUGCUCGGAAUUACUGGGCGUAAAGGGCGCGUAGGCGGAUGUUUAAGUCAGAGGUGAAAGCCCAGGNCUCAACCUUGGAACUGCCUUUGAUACUGGACAUCUUGAGUAUGGGAGAGGUGAGUGGAACUCCGAGUGUAGUGGUGAAAUUCGUAGAUAUUCGGAAGAACACCAGUGGCGAAGGCGACUCACUGGCCCAUUACUGACGCUGAGGCGCGAAAGCGUGGGGAGCAAACAGGAUUAGAUACCCUGGUAGUCCACGCUGUAAACGAUGAGUGCUAGUUGUCGGCAUGCAUGCAUGUCGGUGACGCAGUUAACGCAUUAAGCACUCCGCCUGGGGAGUACGGUCGCAAGAUUAAAACUCAAAGGAAUUGGCGGGGGCCCGCACAAGCGGUGGAGCAUGUGGUUUUAUUCGAAAGCGACGC
rnacentral:rRNA from 1 species